AUUGAACGCUGGCGGCAUGCUUUACACAUGCAAGUCGAACGGUAACAGGCCUUCGGGUGCUGACGAGUGGCGAACGGGUGAGUAAUGCAUCGGAACGUGCCCAGAGGUGGGGGAUAACGCAGCGAAAGCUGUGCUAAUACCGCAUGUGAUCUGAGGCUGAAAGCGGGGGACCAAGCAGCAAUGUUUGGCCUCGCGCCUCUGGAUCGGCCGAUGUCGGAUUAGGUAGUUGGUGGGGUAAAGGCCUACCAAGCCGACGAUCUGUAGCUGGUCUGAGAGGACGACCAGCCACACUGGGACUGAGACACGGCCCAGACUCCUACGGGAGGCAGCAGUGGGGAAUUUUGGACAAUGGGCGCAAGCCUGAUCCAGCAAUGCCGCGUGCGGGAAGAAGGCCUUCGGGUUGUAAACCGCUUUUGUACGGAACGAAAAGGCUCUGGCUAAUACCUGGGGCUGAUGACGGUACCGUAAGAAUAAGCACCGGCUAACUACGUG
rnacentral:rRNA from 1 species